rnacentral:rRNA from 1 species
UGGGGAAUAUUUCACAAUGGGCGCAAGCCUGAUGCAGCAACGCCGCGUGAACGAUGAAGGUCUUCGGAUCGUAAAGUUCUGUUGCAGGGGAAGAUAAUGACGGUACCCUGUGAGGAAGCCCCGGCUAACUACGUGCCAGCAGCCGCGGUAAUACGUAGGGGGCUAGCGUUAUCCGGAUUUACUGGGCGUAAAGGGUGCGUAGGUGGUCCUUCAAGUCGGUGGUUAAAGGCUACGGCUCAACCGUAGUAAGCCGCCGAAACUGGAGGACUUGAGUGCAGGAGAGGAAAGUGGAAUUCCCAGUGUAGCGGUGAAAUGCGUAGAUAUUGGGAGGAACACCAGUAGCGAAGGCGGCUUUCUGGACUGCAACUGACACUGAGGAACGAAAGCGUGGGUAGCAAACAGG